AUUGAACGCUGGCGGCAUGCUUUACACAUGCAAGUCGAACGGCAGCGCGGGCUUCGGCCUGGCGGCGAGUGGCGAACGGGUGAGUAAUGCAUCGGAACGUGCCCAGUAGUGGGGGAUAGCCCGGCGAAAGCCGGAUUAAUACCGCAUACGACCUGAGGGUGAAAGCGGGGGACCGAAAGGCCUCGCGCUAUUGGAGCGGCCGAUGUCGGAUUAGCUAGUUGGUGGGGCAAAGGCUUACCAAGGCGACGAUCCGUAGCUGGUCUGAGAGGACGACCAGCCACAAUGGGACUGAGACACGGCCCAGACUCCUUAGGGAGGCCGCCGUGGGGAAUUUUGGGACAAGGGGGGAAACCUGAUCCCACCAUGGCGGGGGGGGGGAAGAGGCCCUCGGGUUGUAAACCGCUUUUGUUCGGGAAGAAAUCCUCUGGGCUAAUACCCCGGGGGGAUGACGGUACCGGAAGAAUAAGCACCGGCUAACUACGUG
rnacentral:rRNA from 1 species